rnacentral:tRNA from 1 species
AAAACGAAAGUAAUUUACUACAUUUGGCUACGACCCAAUAUAAGGCUAAUGCCUCGUUUUA